GAUGAACGCUGGCGGCGUGCCUAAUACAUGCAAGUCGAGCGAACAGACGAGGAGCUUGCUCCUCUGACGUUAGCGGCGGACGGGGGAGUAACACGUGGAUAACCUACCUAUAAGACUGGGAUAACUUCGGGAAACCGGAGCUAAUACCGGAUAAUAUAUUGAACCGCAUGGUUCAAUAGUGAAAGACGGUUUUGCUGUCACUUAUAGAUGGAUCCGCGCCGCAUUAGCUAGUUGGUAAGGUAACGGCUUACCAAGGCAACGAUGCGUAGCCGACCUGAGAGGGUGAUCGGCCACACUGGAACUGAGACACGGUCCAGACUCCUACGGGAGGCAGCAGUAGGGAAUCUUGCGCAAUGGGCGAAAGCUUGACGGAGCAACGCCGCGUGAGUGAUGAAGGUCUUCGGAUCGUAAAACUCUGUUAUUAGGGAAGAACAAAUGUGUAAGUAACUAUGCACGUCUUGACGGUACCUAAUCAGAAAGCCACGGCUAACUACGUG
rnacentral:rRNA from 1 species